GACGAACGCUGGCGGCGUGCUUAACACAUGCAAGUCGAACGGAAAGGCCCUGCUUGCAGGGUACUCGAGUGGCGAACGGGUGAGUAACACGUGGGUGAUCUGCCCUGCACUUCGGGAUAAGCCUGGGAAACUGGGUCUAAUACCGGAUAGGAGCCAUUUUUAGUGUGAUGGUUGGAAAGUUUUUUCGGUGUAGGAUGAGCUCGCGGCCUAUCAGCUUGUUGGUGGGGUAAUGGCCUACCAAGGCGGCGACGGGUAGCCGGCCUGAGAGGGUGGACGGCCACAUUGGGACUGAGAUACGGCCCAGACUCCUACGGGAGGCAGCAGUGGGGAAUAUUGCACAAUGGGCGCUAGCCUGAUGCAGCGACGCCGCGUGGGGGAUGACGGCCUUCGGGUUGUAAACUCCUUUCGCUAGGGACGAAGCUUUUUGUGACGGUACCUAGAUAAGAAGCACCGGCUAACUACGUG
rnacentral:rRNA from 1 species